ensembl:snRNA U4 U4 spliceosomal RNA
AGCUUUGCGCAGUGGCAGUAUCGUAGCCAAUGAGGUUUAUCCGAGGCGGGAUUAUUGCUAAUUAAAUGUCUGGUAGAAUUCCCCAGGGAAGUCACCUGGUCCUGGACAAUUAUAUGUUGGGAGACUUUUGAUAACUGAUUCAAUUUA